rnacentral:rRNA from 1 species
UACGAAGGGGGCUAGCGUUGCUCGGAAUCACUGGGCGUAAAGCGCACGUAGGCGGCUUUUUAAGUCAGGGGUGAAAUCCUGGAGCUCAACUCCAGAACUGCCUUUGAUACUGGGAAGCUUGAGUCCGGGAGAGGUGAGUGGAACUCCGAGUGUAGAGGUGAAAUUCGUAGAUAUUCGGAAGAACACCAGAGGCGAAGGCGGCUAACCUGGCCUGUUCUUGACGCUGAGGCGCGAAAGCUAGGGGAGCAAACGGG